UACGGAGGGUGCGAGCGUUGUCCGGAAUCACUGGGCGUAAAGGGCGCGUAGGCGGCGCGAGUAGUCAACGGUGAAAGCCCGGGGCUCAACCCCGGGUCGGCCGUCGAUACUCUCGUGCUUGAGCACUGUAGAGGCAGGUGGAAUUCCGGGUGUAGCGGUGGAAUGCGUAGAUAUCUGGAGGAAUACCGGUGGCGAAGGCGGCAUCCUGGACCGGCAUUGACGCUGAGGAGCGAAAGCCAGGGGAGCAAACGGG
rnacentral:rRNA from 1 species